AAAUUUUCAAUAAAGAGUGGAAUAAAAAAAAAUUCUGUUCUUAUCAGUUUAAUAUCUGAUACGUCCCCCAGCGGGGGACUACAUAUUAAGCGGAUUUUUUUAACAGGGAGUCGGCAAAGGAGCUUGCUCCAUCCGCUCCAUUCAUUGACCCAGUAUUGCAGUGCCUCUGGGAGCGGUGCACUUUCU
ensembl:snRNA U2 U2 spliceosomal RNA